rnacentral:rRNA from 1 species
GGGCGAAAGGGAAUCCGGUCCCUAUUCCGGAACCCGGUAGCGGAACCGUCUCACGUCGGGCCCCCCGCCCCUCGGGGCGGGAAGCUCGUCGGGGUAACCCAAACAGACCCGGAGAAGCCGUCGGGAGGCGAGGGAAGAGUUUUCUUUUCUGUUUGAGCGUUCGGGUUCCCUGGAAUUGCCUAGCGCAGAGAGAGGGAAUGGAGCGCGUAGAGCACCGCAGUUGCGGCGGUGUCCUCGCAUGCCCUUCGGACCUUGAAAAUCCGGGGACGGGCCACGUGGAGGUGUCGCGCCGGUUCGUACCCAUAUCCGCAGCAGGUCUCCAAGGUGAAGAGCCUCUAGUCGAUAGACUAAUGUAGGUAAGGGAAGUCGGCAAAU